rnacentral:ncRNA from 1 species
GUGCAGGAGAGAGCGGCCCCGAGCCGCCGCCGAAGGCGCAAGCGCACCCGCAAUCGCUCAGGCAAAAGGACUGCA